rnacentral:sRNA from 1 species
UGGACCCGGCCGAGGCGGUGCUGCAAGAGAAAGCACUCAAGUUUAUGGCUCAGGCUCUAUUGCACCAUCCAGCCUUGAGCAAGAUGCUUACUCAAAGAUUACUAAUUCCUCAGAGAGAGAAGACUGUAAUAAUGGCGAACCCCCUAGGAAGAUAAUACCAGAGAAGAAUUCACUUAGACAGACGUACAACAGCUGUGCCAGACUCUGCUUAAACCAAGAAACAGUAUGUUUAGCAAGCACUGCUAUGAAGACUGAGAAUUGUGUGGCCAAAACAAAACUUGCCAAUGGCACUUCCAGUAUGAUUGUGCCCAAGCAACGGAAACUCUCAGCAAGCUAUGAAAAGGAAAAGGAACUGUGUGUCAAAUACUUUGAGCAGUGGUCAGAGUCAGAUCAAGUGGAAUUUGUGGAACAUCUUAUAUCCCAAAUGUGUCAUUACCAACAUGGGCACAUAAACUCGUAUCUUAAACCUAUGUUGCAGAGAGAUUUCAUAACUGCUCUGCCAGCUCGGGGUUUGGAUCAUAUUGCUGAGAACAUUCUGUCAUACCUGGAUGCCAAAUCACUAUGUGCUGCUGAACUUGUGUGCAAGGAAUGGUACCGAGUGACCUCUGAUGGCAUGCUGUGGAGGAAGCUCAUCGAGAGAAUGGUCAGGACAGAUUCUCUGUGGAGAGGCCUGGCAGAACGAAGA